rnacentral:rRNA from 1 species
CUUUCCAGAGAUGGAUUGGUGCCUUCGGGAACUUAGAUACAGGUGCUGCAUGGCUGUCGUCAGCUCGUGUCGUGAGAUGUUGGGUUAAGUCCCGCAACGAGCGCAACCCUUUUCCUAUUUGCCAGCGGGUCAUGCCGGGAACUUUAAGGAUACUGCCAGUGACAAACUGGAGGAAGGCGGGGACGACGUCAAGUCAUCAUGGCCCUUACGGCCAGGGCUACACACGUGCUACAAUGGUCGGUACAAAGGGUUGCUACCUCGCGAGAGGAUGCUAAUCUCAAAAAGCCGAUCGUAGUCCGGAUCGCAGUCUGCAACUCGACUGCGUGAAGUCGGAAUCGCUAGUAAUCGCGGAUCAGAAUGCCGCGGUGAAUACGUUCCCGGGCCUUGUACACACCGCCCGUCACACCAUGGGAGUUUGUUGCACCAGAAGUAGGUAGUCUAACCGCAAGGAGGACGCUUACCACGGUGUGGCCGAUGACUGGGGUGAAGUCGUAACAAGGUAAGCGUAGAUGA